rnacentral:rRNA from 1 species
UAGGGAAUCUUCCGCAAUGGACGCAAGUCUGACGGAGCAACGCCGCGUGAGUGAAUAAGGAUUUCGUUCCGUAUAACUCUGUUGUUAGAGAAGAACAGCGCAUAGAGUAACUGUUAUGCGUGUGACGGUAUCUAACCAGAAAGCCACGGCUAACUACGUGCCAGCAGCCGCGGUAAUACGUAGGUGGCAAGCGUUGUCCGGAUUUAUUGGGCGUAAAGCGAGCGCAGGCGGUCAAUUAAGUCUGAUGUGAAAGCCCCCGGCUCAACCGGGGAGGGUCAUUGGAAACUGGUUGACUUGAGUGCAGAAGAGGAGAGUUGAAUUCCAUGUGUAGCGGUGAAAUGCGUAGAUAUAUGGAGGAACACCAGUGGCGAAGGCGACUCUCUGGUCUGUAACUGACGCUGAGGUUCGAAAGAGUGGGUAGCAAACAGG